rnacentral:rRNA from 1 species
AGCUCCAGUAGCGUAUAUUAAAGUUGUUGCAGUUAAAAAGCUCGUAGUUGGAUUUCUGGUGUGCUGCGCCUGGCCCGCCGACGUUAGUCGUGUGAGUGCUGGUGCGCGGCUACCAUCCUUCUGGAGAACGUGUCUACCCUUCACUGGGCCGGAUUCGGGAUCCAGAUCUUUUACUUUGAAAAAAUUAGAGUGUUUAAAGCAGGCUUUUUGCUAUGAAUACAUUAGCAUGGAAUAAUAAUAUAGGACUUUGGUUCUAUUUUGUUGGUUUCUAGGACUAAAGUAAUGAUUGAUAGGGAUAGUUGGGGGUGCUAGUAUUUAGCGGCCAGAGGUGAAAUUCUUGGAUUCGCUAAAGACUAACUUAUGCGAAAGCAUUCACCAAGGAUGUCUUCUUUAAUCAAGA